rnacentral:rRNA from 1 species
UACAGAGGUCUCAAGCGUUGUUCGGAUUCAUUGGGCGUAAAGGGUGUGUAGGUGGCGCGCUAAGUCGGGUGUGAAAUUUCGGAGCUUAACUCCGAAACUGCAUUCGAUACUGGCGUGCUUGAGGACUGGAGAGGAGACUGGAAUUCAUGGUGUAGCAGUGAAAUGCGCAGAUAUCAGGAGGAACACCGAUGGCGAAGGCAGGAUCGUCUGGGCAUUAACUGACGCUGAGGAGCGAAAGCAUGGGGAGCGAACAGG